GAUUGAACGCUGGCGGCAGGCCUAACACAUGCAAGUCGAGCGGUAGCACAAGAGAGCUUGCUCUCUGGGUGACGAGCGGCGGACGGGUGAGUAAUGUCUGGGAAACUGCCUGAUGGAGGGGGAUAACUACUGGAAACGGUGGCUAAUACCGCAUAACGUCUACGGACCAAAGUGGGGGACCUUCGGGCCUCACGCCAUCAGAUGUGCCCAGAUGGGAUUAGCUAGUAGGUGGGGUAAUGGCUCACCUAGGCGACGAUCCCUAGCUGGUCUGAGAGGAUGACCAGCCACACUGGAACUGAGACACGGUCCAGACUCCUACGGGAGGCAGCAGUGGGGAAUAUUGCACAAUGGGCGCAAGCCUGAUGCAGCCAUGCCGCGUGUGUGAAGAAGGCCUUAGGGUUGUAAAGCACUUUCAGCGAGGAGGAAGGGUUCAGUGUUAAUAGCACUGUUCAUUGACGUUACUCGCAGAAGAAGCACCGGCUAACUCCGUGCCAGCAGCCGCGGUAAUACGGAGGGUGCAAGCGUUAAUCGGAAUUACUGGGCGUAAAGCGCACGC
rnacentral:rRNA from 1 species